ACAACCAGGUAGUGCGUCUAAUGAGAAGCCUAAACUAUUAACCUCGGAAAGAAGAGUUGGAAUUUGCAUGCGGGGAAGAAAGUUAUGUUUUCAAUAUGAUUCGCAGUUCAAUGGCAAUUUAGAAAAGGAAAACGCGAAUUUCUUCAGACGACGCAGGGAAAUACGCAUGGAUGAACCACCAUAGAUCAAGAUUUAGCCCGUGAACUAUUCGUAUGAGGACGGGACAACCCCCUUAUGUUAGGAAAUAAUUCCGGUUUAAGGACGUGUUUGCUACGUUAGCUCAUGCGCAUUCUCAGCCCAACUUAAGUAAUGUUCGGUUUUCCCCCAGUGUCGCCUGAGGCGCAGUAAACAACUAUUAACCUGUAGAAACGCAGAAAGACCACUCUGGUCUUCUAUGAAAACAGAAUGAGAAUCUCAACCAUUGCAUAACAAAGUUGCUACGAUAUAAACGUCUACAUCUAUGGACGCUUCCGUCUCCGGAUGUCUUGUUAUAAGUUUUCGAAUGUGCUUCCCGUUUCUCGUGGAUUUAGUGAACGUAUUUCUGGAGUUGGAUUCUUUUGAACUUCCAAUUUAGAUCAUAAUCAGCUACAUCGUAACACAUGAAGAAGUAACUGAAAGGUAGGUGAUGCUGCCGAAUAUUAAUCGCUUUUGGAAAGCGGUUGUGUUCAGAUCGGAUAUUUAGAACUUCCAAGACGGGAAUAUCCCUUUUAUUUAAUGUCGUUGGAAAACAAAGGAAUAUGGAUCAACUUCGACAACCAGGACCUUCCAGAAAGAGACAUACAACAAGUCGUACCUCAGUCGUGCGCAAAGGCACCCCGAACUAUCUGCUAUGUCCACUGAGGGGAAUGAAACCCCGAUCUUAGUGUUGUACGGCCGUAAACUUACCGCUGACCCAACUGGGGGCCAUCAAAUCUUGGAAGGACAGGCCAAGGAAAGAAAGAUUUUCGAAAUUCAUUUGACUGUUAGUUAUUAUUGUUAUUUGCCUUGGAUGAAUGUGACCAAAUUAAGCUAUCAAGUGUAACCAAUAUUUCCUCACUGGCUGUGAAUACGUUUUAAAGAAGUGCUUUAUUUAAAAAAAUGAAAUAAAGUUCACGUGCCUAAAAUCACCAAUAACGGUUUUUUAUAAAACAUUUCAAAUUUAUUACUUUAAGUACUCUUUGUGAUUAAGGAAACAUAAGUCUGUGAGAUCAAUAAAAGCUAUUACAAACACAAAGUAAGUUUUCGGAUAACCCUAAAAUGAUCGACAAUGUAAUGUUAAACAUUUGGAAAUUAUAAGAUCGUAUUUCAUUUUCACUAGGUAGAGAGAGUCAAAUGCGGAAG